UACGUAGGGGCUAGCGUUAUCCGGAUUUACUGGGCGUAAAGGGUGCGUAGGCGGUCUUUCAAGUCAGGAGUGAAAGGCUACGGCUCAACCGUAGUAAGCUCUUGAAACUGUAAGACUUGAGUGCAGGAGAGGAGAGUGGAAUUCCUAGUGUAGCGGUGAAAUGCGUAGAUAUUAGGAGGAACACCGGCGGCGAAGGCGGCUUACUGGACGAAGACUGACGUUGAGGCUCGAAAGCGUGGGGAGCAAACAGGAUUAGAUACCCGGGUAGUCCCUGAGCGGG
rnacentral:rRNA from 1 species